rnacentral:tRNA from 1 species
GUAGAUAUAGCGCAGUCGGCUAGCGCGCCAGAUUGUGACUCUGGAGGUCGUGGGUUCGAUUCCCACUAUUUACCCCA